rnacentral:rRNA from 1 species
AUACGAAGGGGGCUAGCGUUGUUCGGAAUUACUGGGCGUAAAGCGCGCGUAGGCGGACUGAUCAGUUGGGGGUGAAAUCCCAGGGCUUAACCCUGGAACUGCCUCCAAUACUGUCAGUCUCGAGUUCGGGAGAGGUGAGUGGAAUUCCUAGUGUAGAGGUGAAAUUCGUAGAUAUUAGGAAGAACACCAGUGGCGAAGGCGGCUCACUGGCCCGAUACUGACGCUGAGGCGCGAAAGCGUGGGGAGCAAACAGGAUUAGAAACCCCAGUAGUCC